rnacentral:rRNA from 1 species
GACGAACGCUGGCGGCGUGCCUAAUACAUGCAAGUCGAGCGAAUCUGAGGGAGCUUGCUCCCAAAGGUUAGCGGCGGACGGGUGAGUAACACGUGGGCAACCUGCCUGUAAGACUGGGAUAACUUCGGGAAACCGGAGCUAAUACCGGAUAAUUCUUAUCAACUCAUGUUGGUAAGCUAAAAGACGGCGUAAGCUGUCACUUACAGAUGGGCCCGCGGCGCAUUAGCUAGUUGGUGAGGUAACGGCUCACCAAGGCAACGAUGCGUAGCCGACCUGAGAGGGUGAUCGGCCACACUGGGACUGAGACACGGCCCAGACUCCUACGGGAGGCAGCAGUAGGGAAUCUUCCGCAAUGGACGAAAGUCUGACGGAGCAACGCCGCGUGAGUGAUGAAGGUUUUCGGAUCGUAAAACUCUGUUGUUAGGGAAGAACAAGUACGAGAGUAACUGCUCGUACCUUGACGGUACCUAACCAGAAAGCCACGGCUAACUACGUGCCAGCCGCCGC